CAACAUACUUUCGAUCUUCGCGAAAAAAACUAAAGAUGCUAUUUUCCUUUGUAUUUUGCACCUACUAAUACUCUUCUUGAGCUAUCUUAGGUUUCUGUUUUAUCAAUCAUUUGAACACACAAGUUUAGCUUGCUUUGGGAUCACAUUCGAGACCCCGUUUACUAAACGUGGCUUAUGUUUUCCCCAAUCCCAAUACAUAAUCCUCCAUACUUCUAAUGUAAAGGAUCCGGAAAAUUCAAAGGCUCUCUUCAUAUUUCUUUAACCAAAAAUCUUUGGUUAAGUUCCGGUAUUAUCCGACCUC
rnacentral:lncRNA from 1 species